rnacentral:rRNA from 1 species
UACAGAGGGGGCAAGCGUUGUUCGGAAUUACUGGGCGUAAAGGGCGCGUAGGCGGCCUGCUAAGUCGAACGUGAAAUCCCCGGGCUCAACCCGGGAACUGCGUCCGAUACCGACAGGCUUGAAUCCGGGAGAGGGAUGCGGAAUUCCAGGUGUAGCGGUGAAAUGCGUAGAUAUCUGGAGGAACACCGGUGGCGAAGGCGGCAUCCUGGACCGGCAUUGACGCUGAGGCGCGAAAGCCAGGGGAGCAAACGGG